UCGUGCGCGAGUGAUUCUUUUUGCUGGUUGUGUUUGCUCCGAUUUUUUUUUUACCGUAUUGACUGUGGUGUGUGAUCUGUAUUGGUUCAGUUUAUGUGGAUAGGAGCGUGACAUUGUUCUACUGUUCUGUUAUUAUUCGAUUGUCAACUACUUUGAAGACCUUGUGGUGGAAAACUAGUAUAUAAAUGUUUUAAGUAAAUAUUGUGACUUCUGCUGUAUUGUAAUGCAUAGUUUUAUGGUGCUUCUGCCCCCUUCCUGAGAUACCGAUUUAGCUACAUUCUUUUGGAUUUGCGUAAGGUGUUUGGUAAUAUUCCCCAUAAUGCUGUGAUGGGCAAGUUAGAGGGGUGUGGAUUAAAUUUUCGGACAGUUAAGUAGAAAAAAAUGGUUGGAUAACCGCACCCAAAGAGGAAGGAAUUGGUUGGAUAAUUGUACCCAAAGACUGGGUUGGCUUCUUGUUUGGUUGAAGUGUGGUGGUUAGUAGAGUGCUGCAGGGCGUUUAUCAGUGAUCUAGAGGUUGUGAAGGGACUACUCAUCAAAUUUGCAGAGAUAAAAUACAAUCAGAUUUGGCUACAUUGGACAAAUGAGCAAUUGUGAACAAGAGGAAGCUUAAUAGAGAUAAAGCUUCGGUCAUCAUGACAACAGCAUUCAGCAGUGAUGGAGCUGACCUGAUACAGCGGAUUGUAACUCCUGCGAGAGUAGGUGGACGUCCCCCAGCCAUGGGGCUGGAAGAGUACUAUGAGCUGGACAGAACAACUGCUUUUGUACUGGAUAACAACUUUACAAAGGUUGCUCUUCAGUUUCCUGAUGAGCUCUUGUCCGAUUCAGCAACUAUUGCUGCCAAGAUGGAAGAAACAACUGGCUCAAGAAUGUACAUUCUGGGAGACACAUCGUAUGGCAGCUGCUGUGUGGAUGAGGUGGCAGCAGAUCAUGUGAACGCUGAGGCUGUGGUGCACUAUGGUCCAGCCUGCUUGAGCCCUUGCUGCAAGCUACCGGUGCUGCAUGUGUUUGGCCGACAACCACUAGAUGUGACACGCUGCGUAGAAGUCUUCCAGGAACUGCACCCUGACCUCCAAGCUCAUGUUAUUGUUCUGAGUGAUGUGGCCUAUUUUCAUGCCAUUGAUAGCCUGGCCUCUCAGCUGCGCCCCAUCUACCCUAAUGUGGUCUUCUCUGAAGUGGAUAGCAAGGAAGCUCUUUCAUCAGCCCAACCAGAUUGUGGACUGGUGUGUCAAUUUGGUCGGCGCUUCACAGUGAAUGAACAGUGUGGUCUUGCCAACUAUUCCAUGUUCUAUGUGGGUUGUGAGGGCCCAGAGCUCACAAAUUUUAUGCUAACCUGGAACCAGUGCCCAUUUAGUUCUUUCAACCCUAGGACAGGUCAAGGAAGGUGGGAAACACUGGAUGUGAACCGAACUCUGCGAAGGCGCCUCUAUCUAGUAGAGCGGGCACGGGAUGCCCAAGUGGUGGGCAUUGUAGUGGGCACUCUUGGUGUGACAAACUACUUGUCUGUGCUGGAGCAUCUGCAAGGAAUCAUUCAGCAGGCUGGCAAACAAGCCUAUACCCUGGCUGUGGGUAAACCCAGCCCUGUAAAGCUGGCAAACUUUUUGGAGGUGGAUAUCUUUGUGUUAGUGGCCUGUCCCCAGAACUCCUUGCUGGAUUCCUCUGACUACUACCGACCCCUAGUCACACCCUAUGAGAUGGAGAUGGCUUGCAAUCCAGCACGUGCCUGGACAGGCAGAUACAUCACUGACUUCUGUUGUCUGCUACCAGGAGCAAGUGAAUAUAUCCCCAUCCCAGACAAGAUAGCAGAUUCUAACAGGGAACCUGACAUUUCUCUAAUCACUGGGGAGAUGCGCUCAACUUGUCUCUGCACUCCACCAGAACCAGAGUCAACAUCUGGCACUGCUAUGAUCUGUCACAACCACAUCCAAACUGUGGCUCAGAUUAGUCCAGCAGCCUCCUUCUUGGAAUCACGCAGUUGGAGAGGGCUGGAGCAGAAACUUGGCAAGACAGCAGUCACUAAAGCUGUACCAGGACGCCAAGGGAUUGCUAUUGCAUAUGAAGAUGAAUCCUGCAGAUGAUGCAAUGUCAUGGAGUGUUCAGGGAUUGGGGGUGGAGAGCCACUUUCUUCACUGUGGUUAUGCUAUCAAAGAUAUGGUUUUCAUGUGAAAGCUGCCGAUUUUAACAGCCUCUCUCAAACUUAUUUGGACAAGCCUGAAAAGUAGGAAUGCCAGACUUCACAUGGACCAGUCAAAAUAAUAAAGAUCAAUAUAUCAACCUAUCGACAUAUCAAUAUGACAUAAAAAAGGUGAACUGUUAAAGAAAAGUCUUGACUACGGCAUCUACACUUUAUCUUUUGUGGGGGAGGAAUAUGCAAACUGCAGAAGUGCAAAAGGACAACACAAUCUGCUGUUUGCUAAGCUCCCCAGGUUCAUGAUCAUUCCUAUCCCAAGGUGCAGUAAACCCCAUACGUCAAGACUGAUGGACUUUCCCCAUUGGGGUCUGGAAUCACUGAUUGCUUGGUAUAAGCCUGGAGACAUCCCAGUUUGAUAAUCAAAUGCUGGGGCAAAUCGGGUGUUUGGACUGUUUGACUAGUCUUAUUAUUUUUACUCUUUUAGUGUUAGUAUCCAUUUAUCAAGACAGUUAUUUAAAUAUUUUUUAAAAAAAUCAAAAGAUCUAAAGAUAGGCAGGAGCAGGGAGGCCACGGGCAAUAGAAAUGAUAUGAGAGGACAAGAAGAGGGAAGUAGUUGGCAACAGGGACGAGAAUGAGGGGGAAGCAUGCAAAAUAGUGCAAGGGAGUGAGGGGGUAAGACAAGGUAGGCUGGCUGCAGAUUGUAGGGAAGAGGUCCGGGGCAAACCUGUGCCUCCUGGCAAAUCUGUCCUGCUCUGGCAGCAAAGCAAAACUAUAAUCGUGCUAUAAGUGGAUUUGCUUGCUGUGGAGAGGGUAGAAAGUAAAAGCAGGGCUAGAGGAAAUACAUCCAUACAAGAAAUCUUGCCGCCAUACAGCAAACACCUUGUGCAUAGUUGGCCAGUGAUGCAGCACACAUCCAUGUCCAGAGGGUACAUGUUAUCACUGUUUUCCACUUUAUCCAAAUGCAGUUAAAACAACAGAUGCUGAAAACACCAUCAGAUUGCAGCUUUCUUCCUAGGAAGACACAUGCAGCCCCUACUUAGGAAGUGCUAAUUAAUAACAUCUUGCUCAUAAUGAGCCAGCUCUAACUGAAAAUGUAACCAAUCCCUAGCACCACUAAACCAGAGAUUUCUCCUGUAGUUGGAGUGGUUAAUUUUUCCCUCUGGAAGCUGUAACCUGGAAAACAAACUUUUACAAAACAUUUGCUUUCUAGGCUUGAAUGAACUUCACCUGCCUAAACCAGUACAACUCUCAUUUUAAAUACCUGUACUGUGAGUAUGCCAGAAGUUACUCCUCAGCCUUCAAGCUCUAAUCUCAGACUGUGAGCAUGCUAUUUUUGUAUGUAUGAUUUUUUUUGGUGUGUUCUGAUUUUCUUCUGUAAAAAGUUUCUGGAAUUCA